GACGAACGCUGGCGGCGUGCUUAACACAUGCAAGUCGAACGGAAAGGCCCUGCUUUUGUGGGGUGCUCGAGUGGCGAACGGGUGAGUAACACGUGAGUCACCUGCCCUUGACUUUGGGAUAACUUCAGGAAACUGGGGCUAAUACCGGAUAGGAGCUCCUGCUGCAUGGUGGGGGGUGGAAAGUUUCGGCGGUUGGGGAUGGGCUCGCGGCUUAUCAGCUUGUUGGUGGGGUAGUGGCUUACCAAGGCUUUGACGGGUAGCCGGCCUGAGAGGGUGACCGGCCACAUUGGGACUGAGAUACGGCCCAGACUCCUACGGGAGGCAGCAGUGGGGAAUAUUGCACAAUGGGCGGAAGCCUGAUGCAGCAACGCCGCGUGCGGGAUGACGGCCUUCGGGUUGUAAACCGCUUUCGCCUGUGACGAAGCGUGAGUGACGGUAAUGGGUAAAGAAGCACCGGCUAACUACGUG
rnacentral:rRNA from 1 species